CCUACGGGUGGCAGCAGUGGGGGAUAUUGGACAAUGGGGGGAACCCUGAUCCAGCGACGCCGCGUGAGUGAAGAAGUAUUUCGGUAUGUAAAGCUCUUUCAGCAGGGAAGAAAGAAAUGACGGUACCUGACCAAGAAGUCUCCCCUAACUACGUGCCAGCAGCCGCCGUUAUACGGAGGGGGCAAGCGUUAUCCGGAUGUACUGGGUGUAAAGGGGUCGUAGGCGGUUAAGUAAGUCUGGGGUGAAAGGCCGGGGCCCAACCACGGUACUGCUCUGGAAACUAUUGAACUUGAGUACAGGAGAGGUAAGCGGAAUUCCUAGUGUAGCGGUGAAAUGCGUAGAUAUUAGGAGGAACACCAGUGGCGAAGGCGGCUUACUGGACUGUAACUGACGUUGAGGCUCGAAAGCGUGGGGAGCAAACAGGAUUAGAUACCCCUGUAGUC
rnacentral:rRNA from 1 species